rnacentral:rRNA from 1 species
CUAGUUGUGGGGACCUUCCACGGUCUCUGCGACGCAGCUAACGCAUUAAGUGCCCCGCCUGGGGAGUACGAUCGCAAGAUUAAAACUCAAAGGAAUUGACGGGGCCCCGCACAAGCAGCGGAGCAUGCGGCUUAAUUCGACGCAACGCGAAGAACCUUACCAAGGCUUGACAUAUACAGGAAUAUGGCAGAGAUGUCAUAGCCGCAAGGUCUGUAUACAGGUGGCGCAUGGUUGUCGUCAGCUCGUGUCGUGAGAUGUUGGGUUAAGUCCCGCAACGAGCGCAACCCUCGUUCUGUGUUGCCAGCAUUAAGUUGGGGACUCACAGGAGACUGCCGGGGUUAACUCGGAGGAAGGUGGGGAUGACGUCAAAUCAUCAUGCCCCUUAUGUCUUGGGCUGCACGCAUGCUACAAUGGCUGGUACAAACGGCUGCGAUACCGCAAGGUGGAGCGAAUCCGAUAAAGCCAGUCUCAGUUCGGAUUGGGGUCUACAACUCGACCCCAUGAAGUCGGAGUUGCUAGUAAUCGUAGAUCAGCAACGCUACGGUGAAUACGUUCCCGGGGCUUGUACACACCGCCCGUCACGUCACGAAAGUC